UACAGAGGGUGCGAGCGUUAAUCGGAAUUAUUGGGCGUAAAGCGCGCGCAGGCGGUCGUUUAAGUCUGGUGUUUAGGCCCGGGGCUCAACCCCGGUUCGCAUCGGAAACUGGAUGACUUGAGUGUAGGAGAGGAAAGUGGAAUUCCACGUGUAGCGGUGAAAUGCGUAGAGAUGUGGAGGAACACCAGUGGCGAAGGCGACUUUCUGGCCUAUAACUGACGCUGAGGCGCGAAAGCGUGGGGAGCAAACAGG
rnacentral:rRNA from 1 species